GAGCGAGCGCAGGCGACUGACAGAGGAACCGACAGCAGACGUGGGGAGAGUUCUCCCUAGGACCAGACCGGAGGCGUGACUGCUGAAUCCACUUUCUCCCCACACACAACGUCCAGUGAUGUGCACCCAGCAAGCGCCCGUGGGAUCCUUCUGAACGGAAGAAAUUCUGCUCUCUGUCAGCCUGUGCUGUUAGGUGUCCCCAGGAAACCCACGCGUCUUCUGCGGACAGACCUGGCUCGAGAACAGGCCAUGCAGGUGUGAGUUUGUUUCUGUCACAGCCCACACUCUUGACCAUCACCGAGCAAGCAUACCCGCCCUUAAGGCUGGAGUGAAGUGGGAGGAGCCGGUGACUGCAGUGUACCUACCCAGCUGGCGGCACCCCAUCCGGGGUCUCUUCUGGAGAUUCACCUGCGCAUCCCCAAAGGAUGGGCUCACACUGCCGUGUCCUGACUCAUCGAGUUUAGACCUUGUCUGGUGAGUUCUAGCAAAAGACAAGGCUUUCAGCCUCAGGCGCGUUGGACCACGUGCCCAGGUUCUCCUUGGAGGUCCUGUGAGGGCCCACCCAAAACCGGGCACAGGCCCGUGCUCAGGACGCGUUCAGAGUGUGUCUACCAAGAACGAGAUUUCUUGGGUGCCUUGGUGGUGGGAAAAGCCAUCCGCAUGCUGCGGGGUGCACAUGUCAGAUGGGUAAAGGCUCUGGGGUGAGGGUGGGGGUGAGGGGGUCACCCAAGGAUCAUGUAUAGCAUGAGAAGAGCACAGGCCAGAGGGUGGAAACCAGCCCAAGAUUUAGGAUGGGGUCAAAGGAAAUGGACCGACAGCGAGACAAGUAAUGAUUGAGUGUGAGGGAGGAGGAAAGCCAGAAUGGGCUGCUGUCCCAGGUUCUGACAAAGGAAAGUGUUUUGAAAAAUGGACUGACAGCGGUUCUCUGGUUCGGCCGCAUGGAACUCUUGGGAGGCGUUGGCAAGGGGGUGUGCCGUGGAUGGGGGCCCAUUGGGCGGGAACCAAAUAAGGAUGAUCCUGGAGCAUCUUUCAAGAACCUUGGCUUGAAAGGAAUCAAAGACGCAGGUGAGUAGAAGCAGAAGGCUGUGUGCUGUCAGGGGCUGUCAGGGGCUGUCAGUUUCUGUCCCCCAAAUGAGAGGAAAAACACCCAGGAUGCCGCUUCUAGAAACUCCUAAGGAUCCUCAGGACAGCUGAAUAGAGAGGACAGAUGGAGAGAGUUGGGAAGAGCCUCACAGGUGUGUCUUCAGGUUGAGGUGGUGGGGAGCGGUGGCUUCAGUGCAGCAGUGGGGUUGCAGGAAGACGUCCAUCCUCUCCCUCCAGGCCCCCCUCUUGCCUCGCAGACCCUUGUUGACAGGAGGAGCCGGUGGGGAGGGGAUGCCGAGAUCACAGGCUCACUCAUGCUCCUCAGACUCCCGGGCAUCUCGGUGUAUUUAUCCUCCCUGACUGACCUGAUCCUCCUCGCGCGGGUCCACCUUCCACACCGGUUAGUAGGAAGGGGAAACCCCACUGAAUAGGUUUCUAAUCAGGUAAGCGUGGUUGGAUGCAACCAAGCGAACGGUCCACAUACACAAAUGCUCGCUCAGUCGAUUCUGGCGGAAACGCUCAGGCUCGCAUUUCCAACCCACCUCCCUUCUUUCCAAGACGGGUAAGGGGUAUGUGUGUCACUUACAAGUCUCGUGGUGAUGCGGGAAGUGGACCGAUAACAUGACACAUCGGUGUUGCUCAUGGUGGCCUGGGCGGUCCCUGAGGGAAGGAUGACCCUCCCCUCCAGGGAGCUGGUAGCCUGACCUGCACUGCCCAUGGGUGGGGCUGGUGAAACUUGCAUUUUUGUCUUUCUCCUCUUGGUGGGGACCUGGAGCUCUGAGGAGGACUCAGCCCUGCUCACUCUGCUGGCAUCUGCAGACCCAGGGCAUCCACUCCACAGCCUCAGCUGCAGGCUCACCUUCUCCAGUGCCUGCUUAGGCUUCCGUAAUAACCCCCUGGCUCUGGACUCGGGGAAUGCAGAGCCCUGGGAUCUCACCUGCACCACAGUAGGAACCAAGAUCAGCUCCAGAAAACAAAACUCCUGAACUGCAGC
rnacentral:lncRNA from 1 species